GAUGAACGCUGGCGGCGUGCUUAACACAUGCAAGUCGAACGGAAAGGCCCAAGCUUGCUUGGGUCCUCGAGUGGCGAGCGGGUGAGUAACACGUGGGUGAUCUGCCCUGCACUUCGGGAUAAGCCUGGGAAACUGGGUCUAAUACUGGAUAGGACCACUUCUUGGAUGUUGUGGUGGAAAGUUUUUUCGGUGUGGGAUGAGCUCGCGGCCUAUCAGCUUGUUGGUGGGGUAAUGGCCUACCAAGGCGUCGACGGGUAGCCGGCCUGAGAGGGUGUACGGCCACAUUGGGACUGAGAUACGGCCCAGACUCCUACGGGAGGCAGCAGUGGGGAAUAUUGCACAAUGGGCGCAAGCCUGAUGCAGCGACGCCGCGUGGGGGAUGACGGCCUUCGGGUUGUAAACUCCUUUCGCUAGGGACGAAGCGUUUUGUGACGGUACCUGGAGAAGAAGCACCGGCUAACUACGUG
rnacentral:rRNA from 1 species